GACGAACGCUGGCGGCGUGCCUAAUACAUGCAAGUAGAACGCUGAAGAGAGGAGCUUGCUCUUCUUGGAUGAGUUGCGAACGGGUGAGUAACGCGUAGGUAACCUGCCUUGUAGCGGGGGAUAACUAUUGGAAACGAUAGCUAAUACCGCAUAACAAUGGAUGACACAUGUCAUUUAUUUGAAAGGGGCAAUUGCUCCACUACAAGAUGGACCUGCGUUGUAUUAGCUAGUAGGUGAGGUAAUGGCUCACCUAGGCGACGGUACAUAGCCGACCUGAGAGGGUGAUCGGCCACACUGGGACUGAGACACGGCCCAGACUCCUACGGGAGGCAGCAGUAGGGAAUCUUCGGCAAUGGGGGCAACCCUGACCGAGCAACGCCGCGUGAGUGAAGAAGGUUUUCGGAUCGUAAAGCUCUGUUGUAAGUCAAGAACGGGUGUGAGAGUGGAAAGUUCACACUGUGACGGUAGCUUAACAGAAAGGGACGGCUAACUACGUG
rnacentral:rRNA from 1 species